AUGGCUGUCGUCAGCUCGUGUCGUGAGAUGUUGGGUUAAGUCCCGUAACGAGCGCAACCCUUGUCCCUAUUUGCCAUCAUUUAGUUGGGCACUCUAGGGAGACUGCCGGUGACAAACCGGAGGAAGGUGGGGACGACGUCAAGUCAUCAUGGCCCUUACGACCAGGGCUACACACGUGCUACAAUGGAGCGUACAAAGGGUUGCGAUCUCGCGAGAGUCAGCUAAUCCCGUAAAACGUUUCGUAGUCCGGAUCGCAGUCUGCAACUCGACUGCGUGAAGUCGGAAUCGCUAGUAAUCGUAGAUCAGAAUGCUACGGUGAAUACGUUCCCGGGCCUUGUACACACCGCCCGUCACACCAUGGGAGUGGGUUGCAAAAGAAGUGGGUAGCAUAACCUUUUGGAGUGCGCUCACCACUUUGUGAUUCAUGACUGGGGUGAAGUCGUAACAAGGUAGCCGUAGGGGAACCUGCGGCUGGAUCACCUCCUUAAAGAGAUGUUCGAGUCCUUAUUGUAAGUGCUCACCUCUAUUGCUUGAUCGUUUAAAGGUUCAUUGUGGCACUUUUGAGUGUAAAUGAACUUUAGUAAAGAAUAGAUUGGGUCUGUAGCUCAGUUGGUUAGAGCGCACCCCUGAUAAGGGUGAGGUCGGUGGUUCAAAUCCACCCAGACCCACCACUAAAAGUUUGGCCUAGAUAUUAGGCUGAUGAGCGGAAAUCAAUUAUAGGGUUCCGCAGGAGUCCCUGAUUUUAGGUACUCCGCAGAUUUGGAAGCAUUGCUUUCGGUCUUGUUCUUUAAAAAUUAGGUGAAUAAAGACAUAUAUAUGUUUGUUAUGUGUUUGCGUUAUCGUGUUUGUGAUGAGUGCGGUAAUGAAGACACACCCAAAAUGUGUGUAUGCUGUAAUUUAACAAGUUAUAUACAAGUGCAUAAUCUGUACGAAGUCGUUAUGAGUUGCAGAAAGUUUCGAUGUAGUUAUGUUCCGGGGUUUAUACAAAGACCGGAUUUGAUUCAACUGAUCUUUCCCUUUACGGGUAUAGAAGAGUCCAUGAUUAUAUGGUCAAGCAACAAAGCGUGCGUGGUGGAUGCCUUGGCAGCUAGAGGCGAUGAAGGACGUGGUAGGCUACGAAAAGCUUCGGGGAGCCGUCAAACAGGCUUUGAUCCGGAGGUGUCCGAAUGGGGAAACCCGG
rnacentral:sRNA from 1 species